CAGCAGCCGCGGGAAUACGUAGGUGGCAAGCGUUGUCCGGAAUUAUUGGGCGUAAAGGGCUCGCAGGCGGUUUCUUAAGUCUGAUGUGAAAGCCCCCGGCUCAACCGGAGAGGGUCAUUGGAAACUGGGAAACUUGAGUGCAGAAGAGGAGAGUGGAAUUCCACGUGUAGCGGUGAAAUGCGUAGAGAUGUGGAGGAACACCAGUGGCGAAGGCGACCCUCUGGUCUGUAACUGACGCUGAGGAGCGAAAGCGUGGGGAGCGAACAGGAUUAGAUACCCCUGUAGUCCCUGUCUCUUAUAC
rnacentral:rRNA from 1 species